rnacentral:rRNA from 1 species
AGUAUUUAUUAGAUAUCAGCCAAUAACCUUCGGGUAUUGUGGUGAAUCAUAGUAACUUAGCGGAUCUCAUAGGCGUUUGCCUGAGACAAACCAUUCAAGUUUCUGCCCCAUCAUGCUUUCGAUGGUAGUGUAUUGGACUACCAUGGCUUUUACGGGUGACGGAGGAUUAGGGUUCGAUUCCGGAGAGGGAGCCUGAGAAACGG